CGUUUUCGGUUGGGCCUUUCAACCAGCCCAACUUAGAACUGGCCACGGGACCCAAGGGAAUUCUGGACUGUAUAAAUUAAAACAAAGCCAUUGCGAUGGCCCGAUGAUUCGGGUGAUGACCGCCAAUGUGAUUUUCUGCCCCAGUGCUUUGAAAUGUCAAAAGUGAAGAAAAUUCAAUCAAGCGCGGGGUAAACGGCGGGAGUAACUAUGACUCUCUUAAGGGUAGCCAAAUGCCUCGUCAUCUAAUUAGUGACGCGUAUGAAUGGAUCAACAAGAUUCCUUCUGUCCCUAUCUACUAUCUAGCGAAACCACAGCCAAGGGAACGGGCUUGGCAAAAUCAGCGGGGAAAGAAGACCCUGUUGAGCUUGACUCUAGUCUGACUCUGUGAAGAGACAUGAAAGGUGUAGCAUAGGUGGGAGAUUGUCAAUUUGCCAUCGUUCACGCGAUGGUCCGGUGAUCGCCAAUGAAAUACCACUACUUUGAUCGUUUCUUUACUUAUUCGGUAAAGCGAAAAAAUUGUGGCCAAUUUGGCGGCGUUUAUGUCGCUGUUGGUCAUUGUUUUCAUGUUGGAUUGAAGCUUUGUUUACAGCCGUCGCUUUGUGUCUUCAUUUGGCGCAUUGUUGUACUGGGUUAUCCCAGUGUGUGAUGUGGUCACAAUGGAUGAUCGGCGAUAGGCUUGAAGUGAUUCGCUCCGGAAACAGUGUCAGACGGGGAGUUUGACUGGGGCGGUACAUCUGUUAAACGAUAACGCAGGUGUCCUAAGGUAAGCUCAGCGAGGACAGAAACCUCGCCUAGAGUAAACGGGCACAAGCUUACUUGAUUUUGAUUUCCAGUACGAAUAAAAGCCGC
rnacentral:ncRNA from 1 species